rnacentral:lncRNA from 1 species
CUAAUCCUAGGUAAAACCCGAACCCUAGGUGUAACCCUAACCCAUAAGUGUAACCCUAACGCUAGGGGAAGCAGUAAAAGGCAUCUUGGGUGGAGCCUGAUCCUAAGUAAAAAGCCUUCGAAGGACACAUGUUUUGAAAGAUUUUUGCUCCCCUUGGCAUGCCAUUUGUAGGUGUAGUGCGCUUGGAGCUCUUGGAUUUGUAGUUUUCUGAGCCCUGACUCUAGGCAUAAUCCUAACCCUAGGCAUAGCCCUACACCUUGGCGGAACCCCAACCAUAGGAGGAAUGACAAGACUUUUGGGUUAGUAACUUAGUAACUAAUCCUACCUGCUAACAUAACUAAUCCUAAGGGUUAGUGUGUUACUAACCCAUAACCUUAACUAACUAAAUAACUAACCUCCACCCCAAUUUCACAUACAUAGAGGUGUAUCUUAAAACAAUUAGCAACUAAUGGAGUUGGCAUGCAGUGAAGCAGCAGAAAAAUUAGUGCCAUCAAUCAUCUUUUAAUAUCCACUGCAAUAUCAUACAGACUUCUCAUCUCUGUAUUAUGAUGCAGUACAGAAACUGAACUAGUAUUGUUAUUAGCUGAAAUAAAACCCCAUCUACAGGAUUUCAAACGUCUUUUGAAAUUCAGUUUAUUAAACUCAUCUCCCAUUAAGCCACUUUCAUUAUUUAAACAUCAUACAAUAAAAAUACCUCAAAAUUAUAUUUGUCAUCUAAGUGAUUUAUUUGUAAAUCACAAGAAAAAUGGUCUCACAUAUCACUUCGAAGCACAGAUUAAGAAAAUAUUGUUGCACAACUUUGCAUGAUUUGCACUCUCCACUUGAGAGGAGUUUGGUCCUUGUAUGUAAGGGACACAUUUCAAACCAGGACUAAGCAUCAUUAUGUGUAAGAUUAUCUGUGUUAGCACUGAUUCUUCUGUCACACACAGGCACAGUGAAGCAGUACGCACUGAAGAGAAGAACCUGACACAGCUAGUACAGACUUGUCAUCAUCCUGAGCUCAUGGAACUGGCAAGUUACAGAACCAGAGAAAUCAAAGGAAAACAGUGGGCUGCAGGUGCAGAAGAAAUAGCGGUUUUCUUCUCACAUAGUUAAGCUAU